GAUGAACGCUGGCGGCGUGCCUAAUACAUGCCAGUCGAGCGAACGGACGAGAAGCUUGCUUCUCUGAUGUUAGCGGCGGACGGGUGAGUAUCACGUGGAUAACCUACCUAUAAGACUGGGAUAACUUCGGGAAACCGGAGCUAAUACCGGAUAAUAUUUUGAACCGCAUGGUUCAAAAGUGAAAGACGGUCUUGCUGUCACUUAUAGAUGGAUCCGCGCUGCAUUAGCUAGUUGGUAAGGUAACGGCUUACCAAGGCAACGAUGCAUAGCCGACCUGAGAGGGUGAUCGGCCACACUGGAACUGAGACACGGUCCAGACUCCUACGGGAGGCAGCAGUAGGGAAUCUUCCGCAAUGGGCGAAAGCCUGACGGAGCAACGCCGCGUGAGUGAUGAAGGUCUUCGGAUCGUAAAACUCUGUUAUUAGGGAAGAACAUAUGUGUAAGUAACUGUGCACAUCUUGACGGUACCUAAUCAGAAAGCCACGGCUAACUACGUG
rnacentral:rRNA from 1 species